AAAUUUCGGGAACUAAACAAGGCCUAAGAUCAAGUGUAGUAUUUGUUCUUAUCAGUUUGAUAUCUGAUAUGUGGGUCAUGUGCCUACUUUGAUAUUAAAUUUAUUUUUUGUGGGGGAGGGCCCAACACAGUGGCUCCCUCGCGCGUCGCGCACCCCAA
rnacentral:snRNA from 2 species